rnacentral:lncRNA from 1 species
GGGGGAGGGGGAAGCCUGCUCCCGCUCCCCGGCCGAGCCGCCUUGUCCUGUCGCUGAGCCGGGAAAACGAGGUCUUGAGCAGUUUUUGGCAUUGGUGCUGGCCAGUAGUGCACCACAGCUGUGAUCCUCCAUGUCGGGUGGUCUCCUGAAUGUAAGGGAGUUGCACCUUAACCAAGAGUCACAUUUCCAAGUCUAGGAUUAGGUGAGAAGCAUCAAGAAACAGCUUCAAGGUCUCACACCUUCAAAAAUAAGUCUUUUAAGAAAUCCAGUAUCUGUGGAUUUUGCGAACAAGUCAUUGACAACCAAGGAAUUUCCUGCAGAGUAAAGCAUUCUCAG